AGUGAACGCUGGCGGUAGGCCUAACACAUGCAAGUCGAACGGCAGCACAGGAGAGCUUGCUCUCUGGGUGGCGAGUGGCGGACGGGUGUGGAAUACAUCGGAAUCUACCUUUUCGCGGGGGAUAACGUAGGAACCUUACGCUAAUACCGCAUACGACCUACGGGUGAAAGUGGGGGACCGCAAGGCCUCACGCGAUUAGAUGAGCCGAUGUCCGAUUAGCUAGUUGGCGGGAUAAUGGCCCACCAAGGCGACGAUCGGUAGCUGGUCUGAGAGGAGGAUCAGCCACACUGGAACUGAGACACGGUCCAGACUCCUACGGGAGGCAGCAGUGGGGAAUAUUGGACAAUGGGCGCAAGCCUGAUCCAGCCAUACCGCGUGGGUGAAGAAGGCCUUCGGGUUGUAAAGCCCUUUUGUUGGGAAAGAAAUCCUGUCGAUUAAUACUCGGUGGGGAUGACGGUACCCAAAGAAUAAGCACCGGCUAACUUCGUGCCAGCAGCCGCAGUAACAC
rnacentral:rRNA from 1 species